UCUUAGCCAUAUGACUAACCCCGCAAAAAAAAAACAAAACAAAAAAAACAAAUAAAAAUAUAAUAAUAAUAAAGUGAAGAAGAAGCUAAGCCGUGGUUACAACACGUAAACAACAAGCUUCCUUCUGUGUUUACACAAAACUGCAUCUCAUCACAACGACAUUCCGGUGUUUUCGGCAGGAAGUCGGACGUCAAAGGUCACGACGCAACUUCAAAAUGGCGGCAGGAAGAAUUGGAUUCAUGCAAUUCUUUUCCAAAGACAAGAGUUUAUGGUCUAAGCUGGGAUAUGCAGCACAAUGCCAGACUUUUCGACCCAAGAAGCGGUUUGAACCUGGCACCAUGAAGUAUGAACUUCACAAACAGGCCAAUGCCUCGCUGAAUGCUGGCAUUGAUCUGAAAGAAGUUGUCCGUUUACCACCAAAUGAAGAUAUAAAUGACUGGAUUGCCGUACAUGUGGUUGACUUCUUCAAUCGGAUUAACUUAUUAUACGGCACUAUAUGUGAACAUUGUACCGAAAAGACGUGUCCCACAAUGUCUGGAGGACCAAAGUAUGAAUACCAUUGGUGUGAUGGAGUGAAUUACAAGAAACCUACAGCACUACCAGCCCCAGUCUACAUAUCAUUACUAAUGGAUUGGGUGGAAAGUCAGAUCAAUGAAGAAACAAUAUUCCCUGUCACUGUCGGAGUGCCUUUUCCGAGAAAUUAUCUUCAAAUAGUAAAAAAAAUUAUGACCAGACUAUUCCGGGUGUUUGUUCAUGUGUACAUUCAUCAUUUUGACAAACUUAUUGGUAUUGGUGCUGAGGCUCAUGGAAACACAUGCUAUAAACAUUUCUACUAUUUUGUAACAGAGCAUAACUUGAUAGACAAGAGAGAGUUACAGCCUUUGAAGGAGAUGUCUGAAAGAAUCUGCAACUUGUAAAACCAGUGAAUAUUAAAAACACCACACGCACACACACACACACAUACACACACACACACACAAACAUGUAUACACACAGGCCAGCCCCUUCCCUCUACACAUACACACAUACAUGCGCACAAGCGAUUCUGGCAGCCGUGGCGUAGCAGUAGAAAUCAAUACAUACUCUGUAACUUUAUUUUCAAACUAACACAACAGAUAUUCUUCUCUCAUUCUCUCUCGCUUACACACACACACAAGCAAGCAUGUAUUCGAUGCUCACAUGCAUACACUACACAUCACAAUUGAUUUAACAUUUAUUUCUCUUCUAUUUUCAUUUUUUUAAAAAAUCCUUUCUUCUCUUUAUCGCUUUGUGUUUCUCUCGACACUCAUGUCCCACUUCCUUCUUAAUUUAAUUAACCAAUUAAUGAAUCUGAAGAAUCACAUUUAUCCUAUUCUGUGUAACCAGUGCUCAAAACCAAAGAGGAA